GCAAGGAAGUAAGAGCCUUUAAAGAUAAUCUGCUUUCUUGGACAUGAGUGUCCAAGUUCUGAUAACUAACUUGAAAUAGGAAUAGAAGUACUGGAGUAGGGAUCCUUCAUUCUAAAUUGGGAGAGAGGAGUUUGGAGACGCUGACGUUGUAGAGGUGGGCCGAUAUGGGGAAAGUGACUAGGAUGGAGGAGCAGAAAAGGACCUGACACCACGAGCUAGCACCGCACGGGCAACAUGGCCAAUGCUUUGGCCAGUGCCACGUGUGAACGCUGCAAGGGGGGCUUUGACCCUGCUGAGAAGAU
rnacentral:lncRNA from 1 species